UACGAGAGACCCGAACGUUAUUCGGAAUUACUGGGCUUACAGAGUUCGUAGGCGGCUCAGAAAGUUGGGUGUGAAAUCCCUCGGCUCAACCGAGGAAUUGCGCUCAAAACUACUGAGCUUGAGGGGUAUAGAGGUAAGCGGAACUGAUGGUGGAGCGGUGAAAUGCGUUGAUAUCAUCAGGAACACCGGUGGCGAAGGCGGCUUACUGGGUACCUCCUGACGCUGAGGAACGAAAGCUAGGGGAGCGAAC
rnacentral:rRNA from 1 species